rnacentral:rRNA from 1 species
GACGAACGCUGGCGGCGUGCCUAAUACAUGCAAGUCGAACGCAGGGGGGACGGGUGAGUAACACGUGGGUAACCGCCCAUCAGAGGGGAUAACACUUGGAAACAGGUGCUAAACCGAUACUGAUGGAUGGACCCGGUGUGCAUGAGCUAGGUGGGGAGGUAACGGCGAACCAAGGCCACGAUGCAUAGGCGACCGUGUAGGGUGAUCGGCCACACUGGGACUGAGACACGGCCCAUACUCCUACGGGAGGCAUCAGUAGGGAAUCUUCGGCAAUGGACGAAAGUCUGACCGAGCAACGCCGCGUGAGUGAAGAAGGUUUUCGGAUCGUAAAACUCUGUUGUUAGAGAAGCGGUAUCUAACCAGAAAGCCACGGCUAACUACGUGCCAGCAGCCGCGGUAAUUC